rnacentral:rRNA from 1 species
GCAAGGUUAAAAUCAAAUGAAUUGACGGGGGCCCGCACAAGCGGUGGAGCAUGUGGUUUAAUUAGAUGCAACGCGAAGAACCUUCCUUACUCUUGACAUCCACAGAACUUUCCAGAGAUGGAUUGGUCCCUUCGGGAACUGUGAGACAGGUGCUGCAUGGCCGUGGUCAGCUCGUGUUGUGAAAUGUUGGGUUAAGUCCCGCAACGAGCGCAACCCUUAUCCUUGGUUGCCAGCGGUUAGGCCGGGAACUCAAAGGAGACUGCCGGUGAUAAACCGGAGGAAGGUGGGGAUGACGUCAAGUCAUCAUGGCCCUUACGAGCAGGGCUACACACGUGCUACAAUGGCAUAUACAAAGAGAAGCGACCUCGCGAGAGCAAGCGGACCUCAUAAAGUAUGUCGUAGUCCGGAUUGGAGUCUGCAACUCGACUCCAUGAAGUCGGAAUCGCUAGUAAUCGUAGAUCAGAAUGCUACGGUGAAUACGUUCCCGGGCCUGUACACACCGCCCGUCACACCAUGGGAGUGGGUUGCAAAAGAAGUAGGUAGCUUAACUUCGGGAGGGC